rnacentral:rRNA from 1 species
CCUACGGGGGGCAGCAGUGGGGAAUAUUGGACAAUGGGGGCAACCCUGAUCCAGCCAUGCCGCGUGUGUGAAGAAGGCCCUCGGGUUGUAAAGCACUUUCAGUGAGGAAGAACGCCUGGUGGUUAAUACCCAUCAGGAAAGACAUCACUCACAGAAGAAGCACCGGCUAACUCCGUGCCAGCAGCCGCGGUAAUACGGAGGGUGCGAGCGUUAAUCGGAAUUACUGGGCGUAAAGCGCGCGUAGGUGGCUUGAUAAGCCGGUUGUGAAAGCCCCGGGCUCAACCUGGGAACGGCAUCCGGAACUGUCAAGCUAGAGUGCAGGAGAGGAAGGUAGAAUUCCCGGUGUAGCGGUGAAAUGCGUAGAGAUCGGGAAGAAUACCAGUGGCGAAGGCGGCCUUCUGGACUGACACUGACACUGAGGUGCGAAAGCGUGGGUAGCAAACAGGAUUAGAUACCCGAGUAGUC